rnacentral:rRNA from 1 species
UACGUAGGGUGCAAGCGUUAAUCGGAAUUACUGGGCGUAAAGCGUGCGCAGGCGGUCCGUUAAGACAGAUGUGAAAUCCCCGAGCUUAACUUGGGAACUGCAUUUGGGACUGCAAGGCUAGAGUACGGCAGAGGGGGGGUAGAAUUCCUGGUGUAGCAGUGAAAUGCGUAGAUAUCAGGAGGAAUACCGAUGGCGAAGGCAGCCCCCCUGGGUCGAUACUGACGCUCAUGCACGAAAGCGUGGGGAGCAAACAGG